rnacentral:rRNA from 1 species
AUUGAACGCUGGCGGCAGGCUUAACACAUGCAAGUCGAGCGGGGACUUCGGUCCUAGCGGCGAACGGGUGAGGAAUGCUUGGGAAUCUGCCCAGUAGCGGGGGAUAACGUUUCGAAAGGAACGAUAAUACCGCAUACGCCCUACGGGGGAAAGGGGGGGAUCUUCGGACCUCUCACUAUUGGAUGAGGCCAAGUCGGAUUAGCUAGUUGGUGGGGUAAAGGCCUACCAAGGCGACGAUCCGUAGCUGGUCUGAGAGGAUGAUCAGCCACACUGGAACUGAGACACGGUCCAGACUCCUACGGGAGGCAGCAGUGGGGAAUAUUGGACAAUGGGCGAAAGCCUGAUCCAGCCAUGCCGCGUGUGUGAAGAAGGCCUUCGGGUUGUAAAGCACUUUAAGCGAGGAGGAAUGGCUGAGGGUUAAUAACCUUCAGCAGUGACGUUACUCGCAGAAUAAGCACCGGCUAACUCUGUGCCAGCAGCCGCGGUAACAC